rnacentral:rRNA from 1 species
UUGCCAGACUCCUACGGGAGGCAGCAGUGGGGAAUAUUGGGCAAUGGGCGCAAGCCUGACCCAGCAACGCCGCGUGAAGGAAGAAGGCUUUCGGGUUGUAAACUUCUUUUCUCAGGGACGAAGCAAGUGACGGUACCUGAGGAAUAAGCCACGGCUAACUACGUGCCAGCAGCCGCGGUAAUACGUAGGUGGCAAGCGUUAUCCGGAUUUACUGGGUGUAAAGGGCGUGCAGCCGGGCCGACAAGUCAGAUGUGAAAUCCGCGGGCUUAACCCGCGAACUGCAUUUGAAACUAUUGGUCUUGAGUACCGGAGAGGUCAUCGGAAUUCCUUGUGUAGCGGUGAAAUGCGUAGAUAUAAGGAAGAACACCAGUGGCGAAGGCGGAUGACUGGACGGCAACUGACGGUGAGGCGCGAAAGCGUGGGGAGCAAACAGGAUUAGAUACCCUAGUA